AGGCUAUAUAUAUGUUUAUUAUCUGAUAUUUCUUUGCAUACGCACAGCUUUCUCGUAGUGGAAUAUUGUUUACUAUUCUUCAUUUUAAUAUAUUAAAUAGUUGAACGUGUAGAAGCUGUCGGACAAAAAUACAGAUCAAUUAAGAUUUAAUCAUGGCGAAAGAAAGAUCAAAAUGUUGUGUAUGUGUUCUCUUCGUUCUGCUUGUUCUCGGUGUUGGUUUGUUAAUCUCUGGUAUUAUUGUCGCCGUGUUAGGAUCAUUCACAUCGCUUGCGGACGAUCAAAUAAAGAAGGUUAGUAUAAGACUGACUUACAGUGAGAAAAAGAACAAUUACGUGCACGAAUCAUAUUUUAUCCUAU